rnacentral:rRNA from 1 species
GACGAACGCUGGCGGCGCGCCUAACACAUGCAAGUCGAACGGAGAGGCGAGCAGCUUGCUUUUCUUAGCUUAGUGGCGAACGGGUGAGUAACGCGUGAGUAACCUGCCCUGGAGUCGGGGACAACAGUUGGAAACGGCAGCUAAUACCGCAUAAGCCAUCGAACCGGCAGGGGAUUGAGGGAAAAGGAGUUAUUCGGUUCAGGAUGGACUCGCGUCCAAUUAGCUAGUUGGUGGGUUAAGGGCCCACCAAGGCGAGGAAGGGUACCCGGACAGUGAGGUUGAGCCGCCACACUGACGCUGAGACGCGGCCGAGACUCCUACGGGAGGCAGGAGAGGGGGAGAGUGCACCAUGGGGGGAGCGCGGAUGAUGCGACGCCGCGUGGAGGAAGAUGGUUUUCAGAAUGAAAACUCCAGUCGUUUGGGACGGUAAUGACGGUACCUAACAAGAAAGCACCGGCUAACUACGUG